rnacentral:lncRNA from 1 species
AACACACUUCUUUUCUACUUGGUGAGUACACUGAACAAUUCCUAAAUAGCUUUUUCCUAACAAACUAAACAUCUAUUUUAUUUUUUACACAAACUUCCUAUUUUCUUAAUAGAAUAUUUACGCUAGUAACUGCAACCCACAAGCAAAACCUCUUUCAACCAUGGGCAAGGAAAGGACUACCGUCAACAUCACCAUCAUCGGACACAUUGCCUGAAUAUUUCUUCAAACAACAAAAUGGACUUCUCGAUAGAAAGAAUGAUUACGGAUGGAUUUUCUACGACUUGAUUUAUGAAAUACACAAAUUCACACACAUGUAGCUACAUUCAAACACAUACACAUUAACACACUAAAAAUGUUUGGCAAUAAAGUUUCAUAUUUCUAAAUUCCAA